GCUAAACAUCAUGGGUGAAAAUUGGACUCAUACAUCCAGUUAUCCGAGGAGCGCUAUCAACAACAGUGUCAAGAGCAAACGGAGAUCCAAGGAUUGCUAGAAGGGAUUGUGAAGCAGAUGACGAUAUGGACAACUAGAGAAAGUGAAGUGGGAUCAGGAUGCACCAACUAGCACUUUCUAAAUCGAACUGAAGGGCAGAUGGAAAAUAGGAAAGGGGCAAUGGUGGUUCCACGUUACACAAAACUUGAUUUUCCCUCAUAUGAUAUAAUGGAAGACCUGUUGGGAUGGCUAAACCGCUGUGAUCAGUUUUUCCAUAACUAGAAAACAGCCGAAACAGAAAAAGUGGUGCUAGCGGCGUUCCAUAUGAUAGGAGAAGCGCAACUAUGGGUCUUCAAGUUAGAGCAAGAAGAACCAGGAGUGUCAUGGGAAGCUUUUAAAAAUUAUUGCCACUUAUGUUUUGGACCUCCACCAUGGAGUUACAUUGGGGAAUUGGUGAAUCUCAAACAAACAGGGAUGGUAGAAGAAUAUCAACGAAAAUUUCAAACUUUGUUAGCAAGAGUUACUUCAGUAAGAGCUGAUCAACAAGUGGAGAUAUUUAUGGUUGGAUUAAUGGAAUUAAUUCGGAUGGAUGUUGAAUUGCAAAAUCCUCUUGAUGAUUGCCAUGAGUUUAGCAAGAACCUUUGAGAAAAAUAGAUGCUGUGCAGAGUGGAACCACACGAAAGUCUACCUCUUGAUGGACAGGGACGCGACAAACAACAAGCACCCCAUCCUUUGCUUGCCCAAACCAAAGCUCGGGCACUAUAGCUGCAUCGAUAGGGAGCAACACUAAUGAGUCUUUGGGGCCAACAAUCCAAAAGUUAACUAAGAGGCGAGAUGGCGGAGAGUCGUGCCAAGGGACUCUACUAUAAUUGUGAUGAACAAUACAUAGUUAGGCAUCAGUGUAAGAGAUUGUUUUGUUUGGAAGUGGAAGAUUGGGAAGAUCUGGCUAAGGAAAUCAUCCAGAGGGAGGAGACAAAGCUUGAAAUAUAGUUAAACACCAUCACCGGACUCCAAAAUGCAUAGACCAUGCAGUUGCUGACAAAGAUAGGAGCUAAUACGAUAUUGUUGCUAGUCGAUUCCGGGAGCACACAUAACUUUAUAAGUAAGAUUGUAGCUGAACGAUUACACCUUCUGAUUUACCAACAUUUAGGCUUACAAGUGUUCGUGGCCAAUGGGGAACAAAUCCCAAGUUUGGGCAUUAGUGAAUCGGUGACUUUACAUGUUGGUUUGGACUCUUUUUGCUACUGACUUAUUUGUGAUUCCAUUAGCAGGUUUUGAUGUGGUUCUAGGACUCAAAUGGUUGGAUGGGACUUUGCUACACCUUCUGAUUUACCAACAUUUAGGCUUACAAGUGUUCGUGGCCAAUGGGGAACAAAUCCCAAGUUUGGGCAUUAGUGAAUCGGUGACUUUACAUGUUGGUUUGGACUCUUUUUGCUACUGACUUAUUUGUGAUUCCAUUAGCAGGUUUUGAUGUGGUUCUAGGACUCAAAUGGUUGGAUGGGACUUUGCUACAUUAAAAAUGACUUUUGAAGUGGAUGGCUAAAAAAUCACAUUGCAUGGCCAACAGUUCGCAUCCAAUCCCAACUUGCAUGUGGGGGUGAGCAGAUUUCGGUUCAA
rnacentral:misc_RNA from 1 species